rnacentral:rRNA from 1 species
UACGUAGGGUGCGAGCGUUGUCCGGAAUUAUUGGGCGUAAAGAGCUCGUAGGUGGCGGGUCACGUCGGGUGUGAAAGCCCGGGGCUUAACUCCGGGUCUGCAUUCGAUACGGGUCUGCUGGGGUCCGGCAGGGGAGACUGGAAUUCCUGGUGUAGCGGUGAAAUGCGCAGAUAUCAGGAGGAACACCUGUGGCGAAAGCGGCUCACUGGACCGCAACUGACGCUGAGGCGCGAAAGCUAGGGGAGCAAACAGG